UACGUAGGGGGCUAGCGUGGUCCGGAAUCAUUGGGCGUAAAGAGCGUGUAGGCGGUCCGGUAAGUCCGCUGUGAAAGUCGGGGGCUCAACCCUCGAAUGCCGGUGGAUACUGUCGGGCUAGAGUGCGGAAGAGGCGAGUGGAAUUCCUGGUGUAGCGGUGAAAUGCGCAGAUAUCAGGAGGAACACCUAUUGCGAAGGCAGCUCGCUGGGACGUUACUGACGCUGAGACGCGAAAGCGUGGGGAGCAAACAGG
rnacentral:rRNA from 1 species